rnacentral:rRNA from 1 species
UGCAAGUCGAGCGAACAGAUAAGGAGCUUGCUCCUUUGACGUUAGCGGCGGACGGGUGAGUAACACGUGGGUAACCUACCUAUAAGACUGGGAUAACUUCGGGAAACCGGAGCUAAUACCGGAUAACAUUUGGAACCGCAUGGUUCUAAAGUGAAAGAUGGUUUUGCUAUCACUUAUAGAUGGACCCGCGCCGUAUUAGCUAGUUGGUAAGGUAACGGCUUACCAAGGCGACGAUACGUAGCCGACCUGAGAGGGUGAUCGGCCACACUGGAACUGAGACACGGUCCAGACUCCUACGGGAGGCAGCAGUAGGGAAUCUUCCGCAAUGGGCGAAAGCCUGACGGAGCAACGCCGCGUGAGUGAUGAAGGGUUUCGGCUCGUAAAACUCUGUUAUUAGGGAAGAACAAAUGUGUAAGUAACUGUGCACAUCUUGACGGUACCUAAUCAGAAAGCCACGGCUAACUACGUGCCAGCAGCCGCGGUAAUACGUAGGUGGCAAGCGUUAUCCGGAAUUAUUGGGCGUAAAGCGCGCGUAGGCGGUUUCUUAAGUCUGAUGUGAAAGCCCACGGCUCAACCGUGGAGGGUCAUUGGAAACUGGGAAACUUGAGUGCAGAAGAGGAAAGUGGAAUUCCAUGUGUAGCGGUGAAAUGCGCAGAGAUAUGGAGGAACACCAGUGGCGAAGGCGACUUUCUGGUCUGUAACUGACGCUGAUGUGCGAAAGCGUGGGGAUCAAACAGGAUUAGAUACCCUGGUAGUCCACGCCGUAAACGAUGAGUGCUAAGUGUUAGGGGGUUUCCGCCCCUUAGUGCUGCAGCUAACGCAUUAAGCACUCCGCCUGGGGAGUACGACCGCAAGGUUGAAACUCAAAGGAAUUGACGGGGACCCGCACAAGCGGUGGAGCAUGUGGUUUAAUUCGAAGCAACGCGAAGAACCUUACCAAAUCUUGACAUCCUUUGAAAACUCUAGAGAUAGAGCCUUCCCCUUCGGGGGACAAAGUGACAGGUGGUGCAUGGUUGUCGUCAGCUCGUGUCGUGAGAUGUUGGGUUAAGUCCCGCAACGAGCGCAACCCUUAAGCUUAGUUGCCAUCAUUAAGUUGGGCACUCUAGGUUGACUGCCGGUGACAAACCGGAGGAAGGUGGGGAUGACGUCAAAUCAUCAUGCCCCUUAUGAUUUGGGCUACACACGUGCUACAAUGGACAAUACAAAGGGCAGCUAAACCGCGAGGUCAUGCAAAUCCCAUAAAGUUGUUCUCAGUUCGGAUUGUAGUCUGCAACUCGACUACAUGAAGCUGGAAUCGCUAGUAAUCGUAGAUCAGCAUGCUACGGUGAAUACGUUCCCGGGUCUUGUACACACCGCCCGUCACACCACGAGAGUUUGUAACACCCGAAGCCGGUGGAGUAACCAUUUAUGGAGCUA